rnacentral:misc_RNA from 1 species
GCAACGCUUAACUGAGAUGAACAA